AUGGACACAGAAGAGACGACUGCAGUUUCCCCCCCACUCUGCAUCCGGUGCAGACUGGAGGGCCACAUCUCCACGGAGUGCAAGCGGCCGAGAAGCCCAAGGUCGGAGGAAGAGCACCGGCGAGACGCCAUUGCCAAGGUUGUGCGGUCUUCGCAGCUGCCGACACAGGCCGGACUUGCACACAGGCUGACGCUGGCGACUAGGCAGACCUCUCCACUGGAGAGGACCUCGCCAGUGCCAGUGGUCACCGCACCUAUGGUGUUCGUGCAGGCUUCGGCUGCAGCCGUGGGUACUGGUGGUGUUUGCGUGCUUCGCCGGACGCAGGAGAUUGACGAUCUGGAGCAGUGA
rnacentral:rRNA from 1 species